rnacentral:tRNA from 1 species
AUCAGGAUGAUUGAGUGGUUUAAGGUGCCAGACUCAAGUUCUGGUUUUCGUGAGAGUGUGUGGGUUCAAAUCCCACUUUUGAUA